GAAUUUACUGCAUUGAAUUAAUUUAGCUUUUUCUAUUUACAGUUGCAAAGUUUCGCCGCGGUGAAGAAGAGCCUGUGGAAGAACUUUUUAGUGGCAUUGACAUCUGUCAAAAAGACCUUACCGUUUACAAGCUGAUGUUAAGCAAUAGCCAGCAGUUUUCAAAACAUUCAUCCAUGCAACACACACCACAGCAACUACACCAAGAGCACCACCAACAGCAGCAGCAA